rnacentral:tRNA from 1 species
AGGCACUGUGGCCGAGUGGUAAGGCAGAGGUCUGCAAAACCUUUUAUAGCGGUUCGAUUCCGCUCUGUGCCUUUUU